AAACGUUGACGAAGAAGAGAUUUUGCAACAUUUUAUUUUCAAAUUCGCUUUAGCUACGCAUAUUUACCGCUUCUCGGUGCGUAACCAAUCGUCGCAUAUAAAGUCCGUUUACUAUACUCAUUAACGAGAUCGCUCGCCAUCCUGUCAUAUUUCCUAAAAAUCAAAUUAACGAGCAUUCGUUGUAAGGCCAACGAAAUAUUCCAUAUGCUGUGUCAUCGUACGAAGGAUAUAUAAGCAGUAGAGAUGCAAUCUACCGAUGCAAAAGUACUUGACAAGUGUGUGAUGAGUUCUGUAUGUCUAUCAAGACAAAACAAUUAUAAUAAAAAAAAUACAGUUUUGAAACACGAUGAAGACGUUUCCCAUUUGUAUUUUUAUUAUUUUUGUCGUAAUCGUUCGUUCUACACAUGCUAGCGAUCAAGGAAAUAGAUAUUAUUAUCCGUUGUUUUGGUUCGGAAGAACCGACUAUCGCGAUUAUAAUCGUUAUCGUAACGUCAGAUGGUCGCUCGAGAACUUGAAACGAAGGUCAACUACUACAUCUUACGCCGAGAUUGGAAGUGCGUGGGGUCGUUGAAGAAGGGACAAAAGUGGGGUCUUAAAUAAACUUCGUUGUGAAAUUGAUAGAAAACAAAAGAGAAAGGAGAAAAAGAAGGGUUCAGGUGAUCAAGUAACAUCAUCAAAAUUUGUUCAAUCGUGAAACAAGUUUGAAACGAGAAAAAAUUUAAUGAAAUCGUUAUUUGAAUUCGAUUAAAAAAAAAAAAAAAAAAUUCUCGUCUCUCGAUAAGACGACAUCUAACUCUUGAACUCGUGAAUAUUUAACGUCUAUGGAGAACAAAGGGCAAACGAAUGAGAGAGGUGAGUUUUUGUUUUUUCUUGAAAAUUGCGAAAGAUCGUUUCAGAGCGUAACACUGAGGAUGCAUUAAGGACCUAGUGAUUUUCUUUAUAGCGCUCUUCGUACGACGUCUUCUUCAUCGAUCAUGAACGAAUGAGAAAAAAAAAAAAUUGAGAAAGAGAAAUAUGUAAAUCGUAAUCGGUUUUAAAGCUUGCUAAGAGAUCGUUCUUCUAGUUUUCUGAUAUUCACGUUGAUAGAUUGGACUAUUGUAGAGAUGUGAUAUAGGGAUAUAAAUUUUCAUAAUAUUCUAACGAAAAAUCUGAUGCUUUCUUAAUUUAAAACUUUUCUGUAGAGACAGAUAUUGUCUUUUAAACAACGAAAGAAUUUGAAAAAAUGAUCAAUGUUAUGUUCUUUACUCGGAAGUCGAAUUGUUUUCAGCUUGAUUAAGAAGAAAAGACCAAAAUCGAUAUUAAAAUUCCAUACGGAAGUAAAAUCGGUUCAGAAGAAACUCACCGUGAGAAUAAAUGGGAAAUUCUCCAUCGCUGUGACUAUGGGUUAACAUCCCAGUCGAGUAGAACUGCCAGAGUGCUUUCUUCCUGCUUUCUUCGGACGUGCCUGCUAAGACCUCGUCGUCAUCGGCGAGGCCCAGCAGGCUCACUACUCCCGAAAGCGACAGAUUGAAAUGAACGAUUCGAAUUUUAAAAGAACCUUGAAAUUAAAUAUCCUUCUUCACGUUGUUUUCUUGUCGUCAGUAAAUCCACGAUGAAUACUUAAAACACUUCCGUUCGCAAAGGAAACUUCUAACACAUUUAAUAAGCAGCCUUUGCAUUAUGAUGAAACAAAUGAUAUUAAAAUAAUCUCCACGAUCGUUAUCUUCGUUAUUGUCAUUGUCGUGAGAUAACCAAACGAGAACUGGAAACGUGGUAGGUAUGAGAUCGAUAACUUCGCACUUUAAUUAUCUCGAUUUAUGAUCAACUUCACUUUGCACAAUUUCAUUCGGUUCUUUUUUUUUCUAUUUCAAGUUUAUUCUUUUAUCGUUUCAAUACGUUCGGUUCAAGUUUCAGAAGUGAAUCUCGUUAUUUUUCACAUCUAUUUUAACAAAGGAACGAAAAUCAUAGAUUCGAAAGGAAUACGUGAUACACUUGGAUGGUAAAUGCGUAUAUAUUACAUUCUGCGAAUAGCAGAAUUCUCGCGCGUGUAAUGUAAUUUUCAGGGAAAGCAAUGAAUUAUUUAAAUAUCGGAGGAAAGUCCUUGACGCUUUAGCGGAAGUUGCUAGAUACCUCUCACAAGAUCUUGAUCGAUCUAACCUCGAUAAUAAUGUAUUUCUCGACCGCUCGAAUUUUAUAUUCGAUAUUCCUGAACGUUUAUUAAGAAUGUUUUGAUUUUUGAGUUUCUCUCUUUUUCUCCUUCUAAUAAAAUUGUAAAAUAAAAUAAACGAUGUAACUCUUUAUAUCAAUAAAAAUGUAUUCAACGUUUUAUGGCAUCGGUAUAAUAUUGCUUUCUAACCGAGAAACUAAAGCGAUCGAAGAAGACGCCGAUCACGAUUUUGCUUCCAACAUACGCGUGAAUUUCUACGAUGAUGCUAUUUAUAUGUCGAAGCCGUUCUCUCAGCGAGUUGAUCGAUCGCUUUUCUCUCGCAAGUUGGAAGGGUCCAAGCGAGAAAUUGAACCG